rnacentral:rRNA from 1 species
UACGGAGGGUGCAAGCGUUGUCCGGAAUCACUGGGCGUAAAGAGCGUGUAGGCGGCCACUUAAGUCCUGCGUGAAAUCUUGCGGCUCAACCGCAAGCGGUCGUGGGAAACUGGGUGGCUAGAGUGCGGGAGAGGAGAGUGGAAUUCCUGGUGUAGCGGUGGAAUGCGCAGAUAUCAGGAAGAACACCCGUGGCGAAGGCGGCUCUCUGGAACGCAACUGACGCUGAGACGCGAAAGCGUGGGGAGCAAACAGG